UCAUAAACAUCGUAAUUCUGAUUUUCAAAAUUCUUGUUUCCGCUGUGUUGAUUAUGAUGGCAAUCCGCAUGGGAAUUUGGAGUGAUGACAAUCCGCAUGGACGAUUCUCAAGCACUGAUGGAUAAGUAAUUUCGUUGAUUUGGAGUCGAGGAAUUGCAAUUGGUUGACGAAUACGAGUCCAAUGAUGCAUUCAGGUAACUCACUUCACUGUUUCAUGCGUGAUUAAUUGUUCUCCUAUAUGCAUGAUUAUAGUGUGAUGAGUUGGAGCAUAAUGAAUUAGGCCUUUUGCUAUUUCGAGUAUGCUUGUUUAUUUAUAUAAAUUGUAAAGGCAUGAUUAAACUCGAAAUCCCUAUAGAUGCCAACUUGUGAUUUAUGUGAGAUGUCUGGAAUCAUACUUUGCUGCAUAAACAAAUUUGUCUAGAUAUACUUUUCCAUUUUUCAUUAAAGAGUCUGUGUAUAUGCAUUGUUUCAUGUAUGAAUCUCAAUACAUUUAAUUGCGGGGAGCAGCACAAGUGCGCAUCUUAUUGUCAAUUCCUGAUUUUCAAUUGGUUUGAUUUAUAUCAAGUUUGGGUUGGAAUGGAUUUGACUGCAUAUCAUGUGCAAGUCGGCAAGCAAUAUAAAGCAACAACAUGGAAUGCAUAUAUAAAAUGGAUGUCAAUUGCUUUGUGACUUAUACAUAAAUCGCAUAUAUGAAUUAAAUUUGUAUUCAUAUCUAGAUAGCAUUCGUGCAUAGAUGUUGUAAUUAUGGGCAUGCGGCUUUAUCUAUAUCAAAUAGAACUUGCAUAAGUUUAUCUGAAUAUUGAUGCAAGCAUACAAGAAAAUAUAUGAACAAAUGAAUAUAUAAGGUAGAUGUUUUAUUGACCACCUAUAAUGAGUCUUGUGACAAUAAACUUUUAGCCAUUUACAAAAUAUAUAUUCUAUUAUGAAUCGGAAAACAAAUAAUUAUUUGUCAUCUUAUUGGAAAUUCAUAAGACUAAUGAUAUGCAGUUAUCAUUAUUUUCUCCAAGGACUUGCUUACGAAUCUGUAUAUAAUUGAUGAUGGUGUUGACAAUGAAUUAAAGGCAUGAAGAUUUUUAAUCUGGAUUAUUGUCGACUAAUCUUAUCAUGUAUAUAUCGAUGCAUGCUUAUUGUAUAUGUAUAUUUGUGAUUUCAUGAUGCAUGCUUCCGCUAUUAUAUUUUGGUUGAAAUCACAAAUAGGGAGAAAGAUGAACUUCGAGUUCUCCAGAAGAAAUAGUAGUCUUGAUUAUCUCGUUUUAAUCAAGAUAUAUUGGUGUGAUAUAUAUCCAAACAUUAUCAAAUUUUGGUUGAUCUUGCUCGAUGGAUAUUGAACUAGUUAAGAUCAAAUUGAAUGCAAAAAUAUUGUGCUUGCUAUUCUGAUUUUGAUCAUUGUUGAAACUGGUGAUUUUGAGUUUAUGUGAGAUAAGUUUUUCCGAAUGGAUUGCGACUAUCUUUUGAUACAUAGACUGUUUUGUAUAAUGGUUUAGGUGUAUAUGACUAAACUGAGAUUAUGCAAUAGGUAAGGAAUCGGGAACCAAUUGGUUCAUAUCUCCGAUUUCUUUAUUGACUGUGCAGUAUAUUCUCCUUAUGCUUAAGUGGGAGAAUCGUAUGUUCGAAUGUAAGCAUAAGGCUAAGAGUAUUUAAGCCGGCCAUUAUAAUUCAUAUGGAUGCUUGAAAACCAGAUUAUGGUUUUAUUGAAGCAAUUGGUAAUUAUUUAUGUUACUUAAUUUGUUUAAGUAAUGAGAAGUUUAGUGCUAUUUGCUGGAACUAAACUUAACUUGAUAUAGUGGGAGCAAAUCAAUUUAUGUGUUUGCUCUGGUCAAGUAAAAUCGCAUUGUUGUAAAUACGAAUUGGAUGAAUGUGAUCAUGGAAUUUGUUUGCGUAUUGGUUGCGGCAAUUGAUCACAUUAAUAAGACAUUCAGUGUAUUGCAAUGACUGUUAGUUAAUACAGUUGAUAUUAACUUAUACUUAACUUGUUUGUGUUAAGUAUGGCCUAGAUAAGUGGGAGCAAAUUGGUUUGGUUUUGCUAUUUUGGUUCACAUAAUUACAAUGUGCAAAUUAAGUAUGUUGUGACUUUUGAGUUAAUUCUGCGAUGUAACAGAAAAGAUUCUUAAGUUCAAUACUUUAAAAUGCAUAGGUAAGUUGUAUGUGAGGAUAAGCUUUUGUUAUCCAAAACAUUUGGUAAUUUUUAUAUCAAUUUGAGCUUAGAUACAUUGCUAUGAACAUAAACUGGACAUUGUGAUUUGUAAGUUAAAUCUGUAUUUUGUGUUGCAGAGGCAAUUAUAAAUUCAUUGUUUUGGUUUAUGUAAGCAGGUUGUGUCUAUGUACUAGUGUGAUGGUGAAUGACUUAUCUGAUCACCUUUAUAAUAAUUUGAGAUGAUUAUCUAUUGUGAUGAAUCAUACUCAAGUGGGAGAAUGUAAGAGUAUGAGUAUGAUUCUUAUAAGUCUUAGGAUAAUUGAUAUUAUAAAGAAGUCUAAAUCUGAUAAGGAAUGCAGUCUUGAGAGAAGUUCCGAUUGGUUUUGGAAAAGAACUUUGUGUUGGAACUUUAUAAAGUCUCAUGAAUCUUUAUGGUUUGUAUGUCUUUGAAUCCUAGUCCAAUUUUGAUAGGGAAUGGACGAAGGAGCACUAUAUAUUUAUGGUUCAAACCACUGCUCUUGCGAUAUUAGCUUAUGUUGUUCUAAGUCCUAUUGAUUAGAAAAGCUAUUGUGAUCGUAAAAGAGGAGAAGGUUUUGAACACAGAGGCUGUUAUGGCUUCUUCAAGUUCAAAUUCUGCAGGUAUGUUCUCAGCAAUCCUUGUUCUUGUUCAUAAGUUUUGUCACUUGACUUGUUUCAGAACAUUGGUAAUUCAAUUGGCAUAUCAUCGAUCUGUGUUAGAGUUCUUACAAUAAAAUAUUUGUGCUCUUAACAUCACAGUGAAUAAUGGAGCCAUUGGCGCCACUGUGAAGGUAGUGCAACCCUCGCGUUGCGCCAAUACAAAUUUGGAGUCGUUGUUCCCAAGGAAGAGGCUUAAGGUUACCAAUGUGAUAGAGAUGGUCACCAAGAGUGCUGCGUACCAUGUCAUCG
rnacentral:lncRNA from 1 species